rnacentral:misc_RNA from 1 species
UUUUUGACAAUUGUAAACGUCGUAAUUCCUGUUUCUACGUACGUGACAAUUCUCUUGUGGUGUGCGAACUCAAAUGUUGUGCCUCACAUUUUCGCGUUACGCGAAAACAAGAAAAAAGUGAUUGCAGCAGUCAAGGCAAAAAGUAAAGCAAAAUUGUCGUCCAACGAGCUUGUUGGCGGCGCGCGUCGAGUAAAAAAAGAGUGAAGCCGAACGCCAUGGCGUCUACAACAAAUAGUGGUCAACAAAAUGCCGGUAUAAAUACUAUGGUCGCGGAACGGUCAAAACUCUUCCCGCUAAAAAGUAUUGGUGAUGUUGUGAAAUUGUUUCGAUCGCAACUAGAAACACCGGAUCCAGAUUUAACGCUGCUCUCAAUCGUGGCUGGUUACAUUGAAAAUACGCUGACUUGUGCGGGAGGCGGUGGCGCUGGAACAGGUGGCGGAGCUGCCGGGCAGGACUCGGGAGGACAGGCGGCCUUGAACCUGGCCGAGAAAAUAAACGGCUUUCCAGUAGUGACUUUUGAGAUAGUGGAUGGCCUCUACAAGAAGUUCCAGACGGUGCUUUCCGUUUUCGACAAGCCAAAGUCGGCCAAGUAUCCAAAUCGGCUGGUGAUAAAGAGGAUUUCGGAUAUCAUAUGGAAUUCGUUGAUCCGUAGUUCAUACAAAGAUCGAGCGCAUUUACAGAACCUCUACAGUUAUCUAUCAGGCAAUAAACUAGAUUGCUUCGGCGUUGCGUUUGCCGUAGUGGCAGCUUGCCAGUUCCUGGGCUACCGAGGAGUUCACUUGGCUAUUUCGGAAGACCAUGCUUGGGUGGUUUUCGGGAAGAACCGUGUGGAGACGAUCGAAGUGACAUGGCACGGAAAAGGCCACGAAGACAAACGAGGGCAGGACGUGCUGGCAGGUUACGAGUCUCGGUCCUGGCUCUACUUGGCAGGGCACCCCGUCAUUUGUGACCGGUAUAUGGAAGUUGCGGCGCUGGUCUCGUCUAUAAAUCCAUCUCUAACGCUUACUAGUGAAUGCUUAGAGUUAGCUGAACUACAGCAACAGCUUUUAUGGCUGCUCUAUGACCAAAAGCAUUUGGAAAAGUACCCAAUGAUGCUAGGUAGCCUUGGUGAGUUUGAGGAGGUUUCGCCUUCUCCAGGACGUCCUUCCAGCGAGGAGCUGUACGCGGAGGCUACUAAGUCAGCUCAAAACUAUUACAAAAACCAUCACGUUUACCCGUAUACCUACCAAGGUGGUUACUACUAUCGGCAGAAUAUGUACCGUGAAGCGUUCGCGUCGUGGGCGAAUGCUAGCGACGUUAUCCGCCUCUACAAAUAUUCACGCGACGAUGAGGAAAUUUAUAAGGAGUUCCUGGAGAUUGCAAACGAAACAAUCCCGCAUGUGAUGAAAACGGAAAGUUCCGGUCACUCUGCGAAAAGCAUACUUCGGGAUUCUGUGUGCUUCGCGAAUUUGUUACGGUUCUACGAUGGAAUCUGCCAGUGGGAGGAAGGCAGCCUCACUCCAAUCCUGCAUAUAGGUUGGGCGAAGCCUCUCGUGAACAAUAUCUCGAAGUUCGACUACGACAUUAGAUCGCAAGUGAUUAUCAACUGCGCAAAAGACGACGAUGACGAGAAGGUGACAGGGAAAAACAACGAUGCUAGUGACAAGCAUAAGACGAAAGAGGAGGAGACCCCCAGUCAAUUGGAUGAAGGGAACAAUAAUUUUAUCAAAAGCGAUGAGGCUAAAACUGAAAACCCAACACUGGCUGCACUCACAGCUGCUUGCGGUGAAAAAAUUUUAAAUCCUGAGUUUCUCCUCCAAGGCGGAGGUCAACCCUUCGCUGACCAGAAGCAACGGAAGACUCCGGAUCCCAAUGACGCAAAUAGGCAGAGUGAGAACGACUUUAAAUCAUCGCAAAAUUCUAUUAAACUGGAAAAUAACACAAACAACAUUGAGCCUAAACUAGAGCUUAAGAACGAUAUAAUCUUAAAACAAAACGAAAGACUCGACUAUGAUGAGUACAAACCAAAACGACCGGUGAUCACCCUUUACAGCCAAAAGAUGAAAGGUCUUAAGGAUUUACUUCUUGCGGAAAAGUUAAACACACACGCAAUAUCAUUACAAGUGACGGCUCAAUCUCAGGUGGCGGGGAAAAAAGGUCGUGGAGACAAAUCACAUCAUCACAAUCAGAAUCACAAUCACCCGGCAUCGACAAAUAAUGCGCAAACUGUCGUAUCUGAGACAGAGACUUAUAGCCGUCCAAAACGGACGCGACGCGAAUAAGUGAAUGAAAUUAUUGAUUCGAUGGAGGGAAAUUACUAUAUGAUUAGGUGCCUUUUUAUCUUGAGAAUUCGAGGAUAUGUCAGAGCGUUAAUGAAGUAAUGGAUCGAGGCAACUUUUGCGGAGGAUGCACUGCUAGUUUCUGAAUUGUGUGAUGUGUAUCAUAAUUCUACCGCCUUUAAUGCAGAUAUCGAUAAUUUUCUAGAACGCAUGGAACUUUAUAUCUUAAUUUCAUGUUUUCCAGGAUUCACAUAAUUUAUGAAAGAUACUUAUUUUUCGCAUUUUUGGUAAGAUUGCGGAAUGAACAUUGUUGCUCUGUGAAGUAUAUUUGUUCCAGAAGUUAUGUUUUCUUAGGCGAAUAUAUAGGAAGGGGAACUCAUUGUUUUUGAAAACUUCAGAGAAAAUUAUCACUAAAUAUUUUCCCUUCAAAUAUGAGAGAAUGUUAUUUUUUAAUAGGUUAUUACGUAAACAUUGCUCGUCUGACGAGUUCCUUAUAGAGUCUUUAUUUUUAACUUUCCAACAUGGUUUGGAAGCAAAAACAACUUAUUAAAUAUUGAAAUCAAAUUCUAGUUUUACAUACACAAUAUUGAGUUGUGCGUUCUAGGUUUGACGUAACUUUCGCUUAAGUUAAUUGUAUGUGCUAUUAGUAUUUUAGUAUUUAAUCGUCUAUUGCUGGUGGUCAUAUAGAUGAGAAGUUCCGUAGUGGCAAACAAAAACAUCGUCGUAAAGCUAAACCAAUUUGUUCGAGUGAGUGAGUGAGUGAAGAUCGGAAAUUGAACAAUAAUCGCAAUUCAAAUUCAUCUAUAGAUGAGACAUACUAGGCAAUAACAAUUGCAACACACUCAUAUAAUUUCCAUAGUAAAAAAAGACCAUAGUUUUCUUCAAAUAUCGUAGAAAGAUUCAUUGGGAAGUUAACUCGAAUGAUUCAGGGUUAUUAAUUAAAUAUUGUCUCUGGCUUUUUGGCAUAAAUUUUAAUUUUUAAUACACAAAUUGCAGCUACGAAGUUCUCUUUGGGCCACUUAUAAUUAAUUUAACGAAUUUACUUCUCUAAGAAAUUUUGUAUUUCAUACAUUCUUCGUUUUAUUUUAUUAUUGAUAAAGAUAACUUAGUACAAACGUUGUGAUGUUGAUUAAAAGAAAUAAUUUCAUCACAAAUCUGCAGAAAAAUCAAAACAGAACUAUUGAUGGAUGUGAAAGAAAAAAUAUCCAUAAACUCUCUUACAUUGUGCUUAUUUACAAAGUCAUUUUGAUGUUAUUUUGUUUGUAGUAUCAUUUUACACAUGAUUGAAGCUAGAAAGUCUGGAAUUUAGAUGCUGUGGCUUUACAGUUUUUAAAAUUACCUAUUGUGUCCACGUUUAUUUGAGUUUAUUGUUACCAACUUGCCUCCAAAUUUUAUUCAGCGCCCUGUAUCCUUGCGUUUGGAAAAAAGUAAAGAAUUUCAUCACCGUCAAAGAUUGAUAGUGAAAAAAGAUGCGAGUAAUGAACCUGUUUGAGGACUAAAGCAUUCUCUGCGUAGCACUGAUAUUCUAUUAGUUAUUCAAACAAAACAUAUUCAAUAUAGAUAUUGAUAUUGAUUACUAUUCAAAUCAACUAAUAUCUUGCUGAGGUUGUGUUCAUAAUUAACAAGUUAUAAAUGUCUUUCGUUGAUGAACGCAAUAUGAAAAGGUCGUGGUCGUGGUCGUAGGUUCAAAAUUACAAUUUUUUUGUUUGUCACGUUUAGAGCGCAGCUAAAAUUGGUGUGGUUGGUUGAUUUUGGUCCGGCUCAAGCAAUUGGCCGAAACUUACCUUGGUCCCCCUAUAUACAUAUUUGUAACAUUCUCGUGAUAACUGAAUUGGCAGUGAAUGCCCUAAUAGCAGCUAUGUACUACAAGUGUCGUUUAAAAUGCAGCUUACGGCCAAUCAUAACUCCAGAAUAUUAAAAGAUACAUUUUUCUUUCGGUUAAUAAUUCGCACUUCUUGACUUUCAUAAUCUGCAAGUGAGAGGUCAACAUUCUCUAGGCACGACAUAAUUUCCCGAAUUGCUUCAUUAGUGUAUAUUUCGAUCUCAUCUCAUCAUCUUGUAGGAUUGAACGUACUUUUAACGCAAGGGUUAUCAUCGAACCUCAUUAUUUAUCUUCUUCGAUUGCAGUUUUACAUUUUAUUAUUAUUACAUAUUCGGUCGAAGACUUUGUCGCUGGGUCUAAGAGGAAUACAGGCCUGCAGGAAAAAAAAAUCAUUCAAGGGCAUCUCGGUUGGAAGUGGUUGCCCUUCAUUUUCAAUAUAACCGAAUUUUAUAUAUGUGUAGUUUCAGUUUUGCUUUGCCUUCGCAUCUUUCUCCGCUCGUGUAACUCCUAAAACUCUAACGUCAACUACGCUAGCUACAGGUUCUUGCUUUAAAGCAGGUCUUGCGACAUUAUGCUUUUUUCGUAUUCUAUCAGUAAUUCGGCCUGUUUUCCUAGAGUACGGUAUGACGUGACAUAGACGCUUGACGUGCUUGUUGCACCCCGGCUAUAAUUGGUUAAAUUUUUAACUUGCGUUUUUUGUCAGCUUGAAACUGAUUUUCCUUUUAAAGAUGUCGUUCUCCUUGACACACCAGUGCGAUUCCUUAGCUACUAUAUCGCUGAAGAAGCUGUUUUAUGGGAGGUUUUUCCCCUUCGGAAAGUAGUUUUGGUAUCUGUGUUAGCAACGACAACGAGUCAUUAGUUAACAGCUGCCCCACUAUUCAGUUCUAGAAAUCUUCAGCUAUAAUCUUCCGAUGAUGGUCGGCUUGCAUUGUGAGCUAGUUUACUACCAAUAAAUUUUCCUCCACUAACAUUAGACUUGGGGUAGAUUUAUUUUCUGCGCCUUUCCCAUUCCUCUGUUCCUUAAUUUGCCUGAUUCGCCACAUCGCUAUAUGUUGUCCCAAUGCUGCUGGACACUUUUUAUGAAUAAAGGUUUGUCUUUCUUUCUUACUUUCGUCACAUUUAAGUCCGGAAUAUAUUGCUCGUUCUAUCUGAUGACUUUUUCUAAAUUUCGCCGAUCAUUGUAUAGUAAUGAUUGGGGAUGAUGCCAUAACCCUGAUGAAGACAUAUGCAUUGGUGUAUUUUGGUCCCAAUUACUACCUUUCGAUUUCCAGUUUUUGGAGACUGUCCAUUUUUCGUUGCUGAUAAGAAUUCAAUGCAGGGCUCUCAGAUGUAUAGUAGGCAAAAUAGGAAUGCUUCGGAUGAAGAUAUUGGAGCUCUACUUCUCAUCCAUAUUAUAGGUGCAGUACCAAAAUUCCAUUCUCAUCCUACAAGUUAUAGUAAUUGUUAAUAGCUAAAUAGUCGCUAUGUCACAUCAAGUUUAGCAUAAAGAGGAAUUGAAAUAGUCAAGAUAGCACUGAGAAAGUAGACAUUAAAAUAAUAUGCCAUAUUUUCCAGAAGUUAAAAACUUUAGACUGACUGCGAAAUCUAAUGCGAUCCCUAAAACUGUGGGUAUAUUGUAAUUUGAAUUGAGAUUCUCUUGCUGAGUAGAAACGUAUUAACCUUGCUUGUUUGAGUUCUUUUCUCUUCAGAGGUUCAAGUCAGGACUGCGUGGCAAUUGUUUUUAUAGGAAAGCUCAAAUCCCUCUACAUUAUUUGCUAGAUUCGUUGUGUUCCUGCCUCCAGUUCAUUUUCUCAAUUACUUCCUUUGCAUCAAAUUCCUUUUUAACAGUGAUCUCUGGAGGAUUUUCCUCUUGAAUGGUGCGCAGUUUCUUUGCUUAUGAUUCAAGUUUCCGAAAUAAAUGAGGGCUGGCAAUAGAUGUUAUAGAGAAAAAAUUUCACAUCUUCACUGAGUAUUCAAUUUACUGAUAUGUAACAGGGCUAUCCUUCGCCAGGGAUAUAGGCCUGCUGUUUUCAAGUGAUUACAAACUUAUAUAAUACUUAUAUAGUUGUUUGCAUAACAUUAAACUGAAAGCACACAAAAGAGUGGAUAGAAAACAUGCUUUCUUUCCUUAACCGGGACUAUUCUCAUUGCGGGAUACGUAUUUUCUUCAGAACCAUAAGCAUACACCUUCUAUCGGUUCGCUUCCUAUGGAAUGAAUAAGGGAAAACUCGACCAUUUGUUUUAUUUGAACUGCUUAUUUUUAACGAAAGUACUCGCCAAUACUAUCAACACACUUCCGCCAUGUUAAUAGUAAAUAAUUUACCUCUUUGCUUUUGAGACUGCUGAAUAUAGAAGGCCGAUUUUAAUUUUAUCAAUUCGAACAUGAGAAUUUCCCAGCCCGCUUCAUAAUUCUAGAUUUUUACAAUGUUAUAACAGAGGCUUAGAGUUAAAAUUAUUUCGACUUUUAUUUGUCACAUUUACUUACCUGUUUACAAUGAUACUACUGAACAUAUGUAGAUUUACCUGAACUGGAUGAUUUCCUCGUGAAAUUAUUUUAUUUCGGUUCGGUUUGACAAACAUAUCUUAUCGGAGAUAAAACCUAUAUAUAUUUAAAUCUGACGAUUACUAACUUAAAUUUAAAUUAUUUUAUUGUUAUCGUGAUUUACGUAUUCCAUGUUGUAUCACAUUUCCUUAUAGAGGUGCUGCUUUUAUGCAUAGUCAUCUACACUAUUUUUUAUAUUUUAUUUUUUAUUUGAUCUUAUUGUAUCGAGGCAAUUAGCGGAUUAUUCAAUAUUAGCUUUUUGUAUCUUUUUUGUUAAAUUUUUGAAAAUUAUACACGAAAAUCACUUGGUCUGUGGAAGCUUAAAUUUUAUGAAAAAUAGAAUACCGAGGGAUUGAAUAGAUAUUUCUUGUUUUUGAAAUUCUACCUUUUACUUUUAUUUGAUUAUAAUUUCGCAUAAUCUCUGCGCAAUAUAUUUCCACGUUACUUUAUGCAUAAGCGGAGAAAUACUUUUCUCUCCCUUGCUUGAUUUCAUAACUUUUUUAUAUUACUUAUUUUUGAGAAUAAUGCAGUAUUGUAUAUGAAGAAAAAAUAUAAAGAUCCAUUGAAAACA